UCUAAAGAAAUGUGGCCACUCUGUCCCUCUCUUCCUGCAGAGACCUUGCACAGAGGCCCAUUGAGAUAGGUUGCCCAGGGCUCGCUCCUCCAGCUCCAGCUGGAGGCCUCUCAGAUCCUGAUGGGAUUUAGCAUUUUGGAGGAUAAACAAGGAAGGCAGUCUUGAGGUUGCCCAGAGAAUCAUGAAGCAGCUACAUUGCAAGGAAAAGCGAGCAGAAAGAAAGAAGAAGAGAGAGAGAAAGGAACAGGUAGCAAGAAAAAGACUCUAGAUUAAAAGAGAAUUAUGUGAUGACAUCAACAAUUGCAAUGCAGGUAUCUUACUCCAAUCUUGACUUUUAUUUAACAAAUUCAUGAGAGCCAUGUAAAUG